rnacentral:tRNA from 2 species
CAUUAGAUGACUGAAAAGCAAGUAAUGGUCUCUUAAACCAAAAUAUAGUAAAAUAGUGUUUACUUCUAAUGA